CUCGCAAGAGUGAACUAGCUAACUGAAAUCAAUCUUUUUUAAGUUUUAUUUCUAUAAAGUUACAAGGAUUAGUUUACUAGUUUAAGUCAUUUAAUAUAAAUAAACAAAAUAAAAUAAAAAAGUAAGAUAAGGUAAAGGAUAAUUAUGAUAUUACUUUACUAUAGUGUUGUCAAAAAUUGGUGCCAGAAGACUCGGUAAGACCAAAAACGCAAACGUUAGUCAUCUUUAUCAGGCGUAAAGGGUUAGUAGGCGGCCUUAAUUACCAGUCAAAGUAGAUGAAUAAUCUACUAACAAUUAAUACAAUAGGACGUUAAGUUCAUUGUAAGACAGGCUUAACUUAAGUGCUAGAGUCGAAUAGAGGUUAGAUUAAAUAAUACUUAAACAAGGGGUCAUAUCCUGAAAGAUUAAGUAGAAUACUAAGAGCGAAGGCUUUUUUUCCACUACCGAACAAAUAUACUGACGCUGAGAAACUAAGGGGAGGAUAGGAAAAAGGAUUAGAUACCCAAUUACCCCUCUCUGUCAACGAUGAAUGGUAAUUUCUAGUGAUUUGUAAGAUCUAUUACUAUAAUAGAAAUAUAAUUACAAUACUUAUUAGUUUUAAUGUUAACACGUUAACCAUUCCGCCUUGUGAGUACGAUUGCAAAAUUGAAAACAAAAAAAUUAGUCGGUUUCGGAGCGAACGAAUGAAGCAU
rnacentral:rRNA from 1 species